UCAGAGACUGUGGGCUAGAGCCACGCAUCCCUUUGGAAACACAGUGGAAGCCACAUGCGUCACUUCGACGUUUCUAGCAGCCACGUUUAAACAGUCCAAAGAAACAGGAAACACUCCCAUUGCAUGGAGCCUAUCAGCUGUAUAUUAAACAGCGUACUUGGACCCAUUUCUCUAUCGGGCUCAAUAAUUAAAAAGUCAACAUAUGACUUUUCCUCAGCCAAGAUGAGAAUUUGAGACAAGUUUCAUUCUCUUCCCUGACCUCACCGUGGGAUUGUUGGGACAGAGGGACAGACGACAGACAGAGGGACAGAGAGACAGAGGUUGAUUGUGAAGAUGAUGGCCUUGGAAUGCCAGCUGAUCUCAUGUGCCAAGUGCAUGGGGGCUUCUAGCAUCUGCUGCAUUGCCCAGGGUGCACGGAGGACCUCCUGUUGUCGCCUCACUGUGUGCCCUGUAACACAGCCUCCCUCAGCCCCUGUGUGCGCUGGCCGGUAUGGGGGGCUCUGUGGGCACCUGUCCCACUCACUCCCCUGUCGUGGCACCAGGAGCAGCCACCCCCGGCGCAUGGAGGUAACGGACGUCACGGAGCCUCUCCUGCAUGCACGAGGCAGCACGGCUGCGUCCUCCUCCGCAGCUCUAGGUCUCAGACACAAGUGACGGGGUCGGUCCCCUCCCUGAAGCAGCUGCAGGCUCCCCUAACCUGCGUGUAACCAGGCAACGGUCUGUCUCCCCAACAGCAGCAGAAAACUGCUGGCUCACCAGACGGCGCCCCCAGAGGAGGACAUGGACUGCCGUGAACCAAAGACGAGACCUAAGCAGCGACUUUCUAUCCGUCAUGCAAAAACCCAACUCCAUGGGGCCCCCAAAGCGCCCGGAACGGAAGCAGUGUGCAGGCUCCGCGGACCUUCUGGUUCUGGACACCAACAAGGGUCCUCACGGCAUCGUUCAUUCUCCUCAUCCACACAACCCUGAGCUUCAUGGUUUCCGCACCAGAAACGCACAGAGGGCCAGGGUGCGUAGAGGCUCACGGGACCAGCAGCGUUAACUCUCUCGUGACCCUGGACUUGUCACUGAAUCAUCUGAGCUCCGUUUCCUCCUCUGUAAGCGGAGGGGUUGACUGAACAGCCUCUGUCACCACCGGCAGCGCCACGCUUUCCAAUGGCACUGCUGUUUAUGUGUAAAGAGCUAACGGGCCUACUGUCCUCUCUGCUGUAACCACAUGGCAGCAGACGAGCGCUCACAUACAGGAAGUAUCUUUCCUUGGCUCCCGGGAGCCUGGUCACUCUCAGGCCAGGAUGUCCUGGGUUUCUCGUCAAAGGGGCAGCUGUAAGUGCCCUCUCCCGGGCACCCUCGCCAUCACACACACCUGUUCCUGCCCGAAGCUGAGGAUCUGUCACCGAGGCCGGGAGCUGGCAGUCAUCUCCACGCACAUGUCCCCUUGUUCUCAUCAGAGACACGGCUGCAGGCAGCGGUUCUGUGGGUGGGGUGCCCCAUCAACCUGGGUGCCGUCUCUACAUUUAUCAGGUGGGGGUGGGAGGGAAGCGAGUGUGGCUAUAAAAGGAGUCUUUGUGGUGAUGGAAAGUCUAUGCCUUGACUGUAUCAAACCAAUAACCUGACUGAGCUAACAUUAUACUACAGUUUUGCAAGACGCUACCAAUGGGGAAACUAAGGUAUAUGGAUCGCCGAAUCAUUUUCUUACAACUUCACAUGAAUCUACAAUAAUCUUAAAAUACAGAACUUAAAAAAAAAUUUUUUUAAUCGCACUUCCAUACACCAGAAAUAGCAGCUAGAAAAUAGAAUUAUUAAAAAGGUAAUAUUUACAAUUGUAUCAGGAAAUAAAGAAUGUCUAGGAACUAAUCUAAUGAAAGACAUGUAAGUCCUUUCUGAAGACACACAUCUUACUGAAAGCAUUAACGUGUGGAUAAUUAAGUGGCAUCAUGUUUGUGAAAACGGGAGACUUAAUCUUGUAUGGAUGUCAACCCCCCUGAAUCCAUCUAUACGUUCAGUGCAGUACUGACAAAAUUUCAAAUGUUUUUCAGAACAUCACAAACUGAUACUUAAAUUUUUAUGAAGCAGCAAAGGGCCUGAAAUAAAGAAACAUACCCAAAUAAUGCAAAAAGAGGGAGAAACUUCCAUAGAACAGAACAAUACUGAUUUUAAAAGAUAAUGAUUGAAAAGUAGAGUUUGGGCAUAAGGAUAACAAAUUGACCAAUGAAACAACAGAGCACCUAGAAACAGCCUCAUGUGAACACGAGGAAACUUGACUUGUGACGGAACCUAACCCUGUAUGUCUGUGGACACUUCCAUAGAAGGAGCUGGGACAACUGGCAAACCGUGUGGAAAAAUGGCAGUGUACCGCGUACUUCACACACAGCAGGUGGAGUGUAAAACAUAAAUGUGUGUCGGGAAGAUGUUGAGGAGAAUUUGCCUUCAUUGGCUGAUGUGAGCUUUUGUCUGUUACUUUUUGUUCCUUUGUUCCCCCACAUGAGACAUUGCAUGUGGGGUUCCCUCCCAUGAGAGACUGCACUUCAGGUACUGGUUAGCUUAGGGUUAAAAGAAUUUUCCCUGAGAUGUUGUUUUCUGUCUGUUUCACCCGCGUCAGCAGAUGAAGUGAAGAAGUAGCUAAGUUAUAUCAGGACGACGUGACAGGCACGUUGCCAGGCUUUGGAAGGCCUUGGGCCCAUGGUCCCAGGCAGGAACAGUAGAUGUUCCUUGUCCGGAUGAAUUGGCCCUUCAGCCGGAUAAGCAAUAUUUUUAUCACAGUAACUGCCGGACACUCCCAGAACUGGCCAUUCCCGGAGGGGGAGGCAGGAACAAGGAGCUUGGCUCUGGGGUACAUCUGAGAAAAUAUAUAAGACACACCUCACUUGGCAGUGAAAGGUUUCAUCUCUUGUUAUCAGUGAUUCUUCAUCAUUCUACCAUUUUGGAAGCUUCCAGCAACAUGCAGCUUACAACACCAGGAGACGCCCCGACUGCCAGCCGCGGACCUGGUGAGGGCUGGCUGGUUCCCGACCUCUCCAGUGCUGUUCCCCACGGUUAGCCUUCUUGAGAACUGGUUAGCAUUUUAGAAACUUGUACGCAGCUUGCAACUUGUGGCAUCAGGAGACGCCCUAACUUCUAGCAACAGCAAUGGCGACGGCGACAGCAGCCGCAUCCUUGGGAAAGAGCAAGCAGCAGUAGGAGACGCCUGAGUUUCCCUCAGCUGCACACCUGGCAAGGUGUUGAUUCCUGCCUUUCCACUGUUGUUGUUCCUACAGUUUGGCAAAACUCUAAGUUCAGGAGACAACAGCAGAGAAUAGACAACAGACUAGGAAAUGUUUAAGAAAGGAUACGAAUUUCUACAUAGGAUGUGAAAAGCACAAACGCGAAAGGACUUGGUCGCUAAAUUCCAUAUUAACAUGAAGAACUCCUACUCAGUGAAAAGAGGAAGACGACACAUUCAAAGCUGGGAGAAGAUGGGAAAAGAAAAAGACCCAUAACCCGGAAGAACAACAGAAAAGGCUGGGGUAUGUGACAGAAGAGGAAAUUCACCAGUUCCAUGAACAUACAGACAGAUGUGUAACCUUACUAGUGAUUAGGGAAACGCAAACUGCACUUCACACGAGAAACAAUUUACGAGGCCCCAGGCUGGAAAAAGGUUAAAAUCCUGACGCUAGCAGGAAUUGACGGCAGGCCAGAACAUGACACCUGCCGAGGCACAGGGCACUGCACGGCCACCUCCGAGACACCCACGCCUGAGUCAGCGUGCCACACCAGCUGCACGCGCUCCUAACACUGCAGAUGCACAGGAGCACGAAUGAGCACGUCUCCGGCAGUGCAGCCUCGGAAGCAGAAAGAGGCGCUUAUUCCAACUGUCUGCUGACAGGAGAAAGGAUCCAGAGGCAGUGUGUUCACAGAACAGUGCAUCACAAAGCGGUGAGAAGCCGUGACCUCCAGCAAAACCCAACAGCACGAGCCACUGUGCAGAACACGCUGCUGAGCGACAGAGGCGAGUCCCCUGGAGAGCGAUCCCCACGGGACGCACUUCCGUCACGUUUGACGGUAAGUGGAGCUGAGGCCUCCAGUUCCGGAACCCGCGGUCCUCCUCCCGGCUAGGACACCCCUGAAUGCCCGGGAAAUGCCCCAACAGCCAGCCACAGAGGGUGCUGAGAGACUCGAGGACACGGCUGAUGCCCAGGAAACUCAGGACUUGAAUGACAAACGGUGAGUCCCUGUUUCUUUUUACGGACGAGAUGCCCCAGGAGGCGCGGCAGAGGCCUGCACCCAGAACUACCUACAGGCAAGGACAGGAUGAAACCGUAAAACGUGCCCUUGGCCUGGCCAAACACCAGCGGAGGGGGAAGACCAGCCAAGACCCAGAGGGAGCCCCAGCCCCGCCCCAGCUGGGCUUCGGGCAGGGGCAGCCAAGCCCCAGGCUGGCCCUGGCCCCUCUGUAAGUAGGGCAGCGCAGGCGGUGGACCUGCUGAGCGCCUCAUGUUCCCGCCCCCCCACCUCCUGGCAAGACACCCGGGCCCGUGGCUUCUGCCCAUCCACACCCGAGCAGCAGAUGGCCACCCAGUGACACCAGGCCAGCCCCUCCCGCCCCCACAGUGCCAGAGAACAGGGCGACCAAACAGCACUGCAAAAGCUCUGAAAGCUAAAUGCCCCAUUUCCCUUGUUCUCCUGCGUCUUUCCACAAACCAAAUGGUGUCCUGCCAGAACCAAUGAGCUUCAAAAGAGCAGCUUGCAGGCACCAAAUGUCCCGGUGAUAGAAACAGCAACUAGGAACCUUGUGGAGGCUGGGGCCGUCAGCCACCACUCCCGCGUGCCCCCCGCUCAGGCCACCCUGCCCCUCUCCCCUCCGACACACACAGGGGUGCAGCUGGCUGCCUGGGAGGCCUGGAGCCCUGGGCUGCCCUCCUGGGGCUGCUCUCCUGUGGCAGGAAGAGACAAGUGGCCAAAGGAUUGGGUUUCCCAGCUGCCAAGGAAGCCGGGGCCUCAAAGCCACAGGAAGAGCUGCUCCAGGCAGCAGCACAAGGACUGAGCUCGUCUGCUCCUGGGGCCUCAGCCACCCUGUCCCCACCCACAGCGCAGACGCCUGCUCUGACCUCGUCACGUCCUGAGUCAUGCUGCAGGAGUGGUAACUUGGCCUAACCAGUAUUUUGAAUUUGUGGAAGAAAAGCAGGCUUUUCCACACCACUGAGGCCAUUCCCACACAGAUCAAAGCAUUUUGCAUCCUUUCAGGAGGGCAGCCCCAGAGGGAGGACCGCCCACAUGUCUGGGCUCAUCUGCUGCCAUGCUCCCCCCGAGUCCAGUGACUCCAGCCCCCAGCCCGUGGGAAAGCCCAAAGCCAUGUCCAGCGCAAACCCACGUCCGGCUCAGGAAACCAGUCAAGCCCAGGCUGUGUCAGCAGGCUCCGCGCUCCUGGGAGCAGCCGCUCUUCCCUCAGGUAUUCAGAGCCAUUACCAGGUCCCUGCCGCCAGUCUCAUCCAGGGUCGUAAGGAGUGCCACCUCCACAGGCGGUAAACACAGGGCUCUAGGACCAUCCCGUGCUCUGCUAACCCUUACCUAGAGGGAAACUGAGACACACAUGAGGGGGGCCUGAGAUGCAUCGUGGAGCUUGUGCCCCCGCCCCAUCUGCCGCCUGGGUCUACCGUACCACUGGUGUGCGCAGCCCCAGGCUGUUCUCUGGGGUGUGGGGCGGUGCCCGACAACUUCAGGUGUCCACACGCUUGCACAUCAGGCCCCUGGAAGUGCAGGAGGGAAGGGGACCACGGUGGGAACACAACAACUUGUCUGAACUUGACUAUCCGAGUCCAUACGAAGGUACAGUCGUCAAGGUGAGGGAUAAAACAUCGUUUUAAACCUGUUUGGCCUGGAUUUAUAACUUUUGACUAUUCAGACGUGUGGCACGUGGCUCUGCAUUUGUGCUCCGUCCCUAUUCCCUCCCCCGCCCCCUGCCCGUUUUGGAGGCAGGGCUGCUUCAGGCAGGAGGAAGGUGACCUUGGUGACAGGCAGGAAAGAAGGAAGGUCCGUGGGUAGCGUAAAUAUGUGACUUAAUGUGCGUGGACACUCAUCACGGUCUGUUCUUCAGUUUUAAAUACAAGUAGAACCAAAAGGCAGGACAAUAUUUAAAAAACCGGGCAGGUGCAGAUAGUUGUGUGUUCUAGGUGUUAGCACUGUCUGAGAACCGACGGAAGGACUGAUUUAUGUGAGACGCCAAUCCAUUAAGAACACAUAGUACGUAUUUUAAUGAUUAAGAGUACAAAUGUUUGAUUAACAAGCUAACCAAAGAGGAGAUAAAAUAGUGAAAAAUAUCUUCCUCCAAAAGAGGGCAAGAGUAGAGAGAAAACCAAGUGUAAAACUUUUGGGACAACUACAAACCAAAUAAUAAGGCGAGAGAUAUCGGCCCAAACACGUCUGAAAUGUCGUUACAUGCUACUUGUGUCAUUAGCCACUAUCAAAAGGUAAACACUGUGAGAUGGAUAAAAAAGAUAAUGUGAAACGUGAUGACCAAACCUGACCUAACAGACAUAUAUGACGAUAGAGACACUGCAUCCAACACACACACACACA